AUGAUUGUGCAUUUAGGUUUUGGAGGGUGCUCUGCUCACCAUGAUGCCGGGGACGGAAGGGGGGAUCCUUCUCUGGAGAAGCUUGAGGGUGUAGCUGGCUACUUCCUCAGGGGUGGCCCUGUCCUUGCACUCGGCACCAGGGGUCACCAUGCUUGGCUUCAAGAGGAUGCCCUCAAACAUGACGUUGUUCUGGGCCAUAUAGUAGAAGGUCUCCGCCCACACCUUCUGUGCGACCUCGAAGGUCCUCUCGAUGCCGUGCUCACCGUCGAGCAUGAUCUCAGGCUCCACAAUCGGCACCAGCCCAUUGUCCUAGAACAUCGACAAACAAGAGGUUUACAUAUCUACUAG
rnacentral:rRNA from 1 species